UACGAAGGGGGCUAGCGUUGCUCGGAAUUACUGGGCGUAAAGCGCGCGUAGGCGGCUUUGUAAGUCAGAGGUGAAAUCCCGGAGCUCAACUCCGGAACUGCCUUUGAGACUGCAUCGCUUGAAUCCGGGAGAGGUGAGUGGAAUUCCGAGUGUAGAGGUGAAAUUCGUAGAUAUUCGCAAGAACACCAGUGGCGAAGGCGGCUCACUGGCCCGGUACUGACGCUGAGGUGCGAAAGCGUGGGGAGCAAACAGGG
rnacentral:rRNA from 1 species